rnacentral:rRNA from 1 species
GGGCGACUGAACCGGGAAGAGCCCAGCGCAUAACCUCGUGUCGUUAACCCGGCACGAGGGGUGUUGCGUUUCGGAGGGUCCAGCACGCCGUGCCAUACCGUCUAAGUCAAGCUUGAAAGCGGCCACUACCCAUGGAGGGUGACAGGCCCGUGUGGCGGCGCCCGCGAGGGUAAAGAUGGCACGGUCGGAAAGGGCCUCUCUGUAGAGUCGGGUUGCUUAAUAGUGCAGCCCAAAGCAGGUGGUAAACUCCAUCUAAGGCUAAAUAUGACCACGAGACCGAUAGCGAACAAGUACCGUGAGGGAAAGUUGAAAAGAACUUUGAAGAGAGAGUUCAAGAGUACGUGAAACCGUUAAGAGCCAAACGGAUGGAACCUCGAAGGUCGAACUGAGGGGAUUCAGCUCGUCGGCCGUCGGCUGGGUGCGAGUUUUCGUUGAGUCGGUGCGACCCGAGGAAACUCGGGCGCGCUCGCAUCCACGCUGGCGUCGGCGGGCGCAUUUCGCCUCGUAGUAGGGCGCCGCGACCCGUUGCUGGGGGACGUCUAAUAAGGCCCCGGUGGAUUGGUACCCUACCUUCGACGAGUGCAGCCUCCGCAUGCUGCUGCUGCUGCUGCUGCGGCGGCGGCGGCGGCGGCAGCGGCGGCUGCUUCGGCGCUUGGUAGGCGAAACCACCGUUGGUGAUCCUGGCUGCCCUGCGACGGUCGUAGAGACGAGUCCCUAUCCCCAUACCUGGGGGUAGGGGUUGCUCUCGUCUCGCGGCGUGCAAAAAGAUCGGUGAUCCAUCCGACCCGUCUUGAAACACGGACCAAGGAGUCUAACAUGUGUGCGAGUCAGUGGGCGCACUAAACCCAAAGGCGUAAUGAAAGUGAAAUAAAACAAAACGAGUCCGGCGCGCGCGUCUUUCCAUGGUGCGGGCGUCGGAAGAAGCAUCGGAGGGCCGAUCCAUCGCCUUCCUCCCUCCACCGACAUUGGUGCCAGGUGAGCCAUUUUCCCUGGCCUCUGCCGGAGGCUGCGGAGGAGCGCGUAGGCGCAGGCCCGGGACUUGCCAAGACGCCGCGAGGACAAUAACAAUCGCCGCCUUCUUCCGUCAGCGAGGUUGGAGAUGACGAUGACGCCGUCAUCCUCUCUCUCUCUCAGCCGAGCGGCGGUAGCGGGUGGUGGUUAUGAUGAUAAAAUGGCGCGUGCAGUCGGCAAGUACCACGAGCAGACAUGUUGGUACCCGAAAGAUGGUGAACUAUGCCUGGCCAGGAUGAAGCCAGAGGAAACUCUGGUGGAGGUCCGUAGCGAUUCUGACGUGCAAAUCGAUCGUCUGAGCUGGGUAUAGGGGCGAAAGACUAAUCGAAUCAUCUAGUAGCUGGUUCCCUCUGAAGUUUCCCUCAGGAUAGCUGGAACUCGCAGGAUGAAUUUCGUCCGGUAAAGCGAAUGAUUAGAGGUGUUGGGGACGAAACGUCCUCAACCUAUUCUCAAACUUUAAAUGGGUGAGAUGCCGAGCUUUCUUGAAUACUGGCUGAUGAAGCUCCGGCGAUGAUUAAUCUGAGUAUCUAGUGGGCCAUUUUUGGUAAGCAGAACUGGCGCUGUGGGAUGAACCAAACGUCGAGUUAAGGGGCCUAAAUGAAUGCUCAUUCAGAUCCCAUCGAAAGGCGUUGGUUGCUAUAGACAGCAGGACGGUGGCCAUGGAAGUCGGAAUCCGCUAAGGAGUGUGUAACAACUCACCUGCCGAAGCAACUAGCCCUUAAAAUGGUAUGGCGCUUAAGCAUUCUCCCGAUACUCGACCGCCGGGGCACUAGCGGCCACGUCCCAGAGGCGAGGUCUCGAAGCCCCGGUGAGUAAGAGGGUCGCAGUGGUGAGCGCUGAAGGGAUCCGGCGUGAGCCGGCCUGGAGCCGCCACUGGUGCAGAUCUUGGUGGUAGUAGCAAAUACUCGAGAGAGACUCCCUUGAAGACCGAUGUGGAGAAGGGUUCCAUGUGAACAUCAGUUGGACAUGGGUUAGUCGCUCCUAAGCCCAAGGCUAAGGCCUGAUCCCAUGCUAGCGGCAACGUUCGGCCAAAGUAAGGAGCAUGCCAGCAUGAGGAGAAUAUGUAGAAGACGACGACGACGAUUAAGCAGCAGAAGAGACGAAGGCUGCUGCUGCUGCUGCUGUUGCUGUGGCGGCAACGGCGGCGGCGGCGGCGGCUGACUAGGGAGAAUGGAGCACGGUCCGAGGCGGCGGCGGCGGCGGCGGCGGCGGCGGCGGCGACGGCGGCGGUAUCAUCUACUGCUGCUGCUGCUGCUGCUGCUGCUGCUGCUGCUUCUGUCGAGUGCAUCUCCUGCAGAAGCUGCAGUCGUUGUUUUGUUCUUCUUUUCUCUCAUGUGCUUCUCGUUGCCCGGGAUUAGUGGCGAAAGGGAAUACGGUACUUAUUCCGUAACCUGGACUCGGAUAAAAAAAAAAAAAACCAGGCAGGCCCAGCACGCAAGCAAGCGACUUGCUCCCGAAAGGGAAAUUUCGCUACGGCUGCUGCUGGUGCUGCAGCUGACGCUGUUGCCCUGUGUUGAGGACCCCGGUGACGGGAACCAGCUCGCGCCCAUCGGCGGUGGUCCGGGAAAGAGUUUUCUUUUCUGUUUAAGGCGCCGUGACCCUAGAAACCAUCCGCAGGGAGAAAGGGGAUUGGUAACACGGUUAGCCGUAGAGCGCCGCGGUUCUUGCGGCGUCCCGCGUGCCACCGCCGGUCCGUGAAACCGCGAGGAAGGUAACUCUGGCUAGAUUUGUUGGGUCUCCGUGCCCGUCCAAAAAAACAAAUGCCUAAUUUCGAGACAGUGCGUACCCAUAUCCGCAGCAGGUCUCCGAGGUAAGCAGCUU